rnacentral:piRNA from 1 species
UGCUUGCACAAUUUCCCUAUCAAUUAAGUA